rnacentral:lncRNA from 1 species
AACAGUGCUAAGAAGGAUACAGUGGCUAGAAGUCGUCCUGUCGUCCUGCCUCACAGUAACAUCGUUACCGAAUUCUCAGCAGGUGAACCAAAUGAAAUGGUCAACUGAAAGCCAACCAGGCAAAAAAUCACCAUGUACCAACCUAUCCAAACUUAUCCAUGGAUGAAUCUAUCCAGAAGACGGGAGUUCCGAUGCUUGUCUUGCUCUGAAUGUCUGCUUGUCACCUGCUUAGGGUUAUCGACUGUGAUUCUGGGACUCAUUGUUGUUCUACAGGACCCCUCUGACUCUGUGGUUUUCUCUACUGGAUUAACAAUGAUAGCCAUAGGUGCUUUUUUUGUUGUCCUCACUGGAGUGACAGCCCUGUGUACGGUUACAGUCGACGAGAACUUGCAGAAAACCACGAGGCUAAGACUAGGAGUGAUACGAAAAAGCGGAAGUCUCCAAGGAACUACAGAGCCUUCCAUGACUCA